rnacentral:tRNA from 1 species
GGGGUUGUGGCUCAGUGGCAGAGGGCUUGCCUAGCACGUAGGAGGCCCUGGGUUCGAUCCUCAGCACUACA